AAUAGAUACCCGGGUAGUCCACGCCGUAAACGAUGAGUGCUAAGUGUCGGGGGGUUUCCGCCCCUCAGUGCUGCAGCUAACGCAUUAAGCACUCCGCCUGGGGAGUACGGUCGCAAGACUGAAACUCAAAGGAAUUGACGGGGGCCCGCACAAGCGGUGGAGCAUGUGGUUUAAUUCGAAGCAACGCGAAGAACCUUACCAGGUCUUGACAUCCCGGUGACCACUAUGGAGACAUAGUUUCCCCUUCGGGGGCAACGGUGACAGGUGGUGCAUGGUUGUCGUCAGCUCGUGUCGUGAGAUGUUGGGUUAAGUCCCGCAACGAGCGCAACCCUUAUUCUUAGUUGCCAUCAUUCAGUUGGGCACUCUAAGGAGACUGCCGGUGAUAAACCGGAGGAAGGUGGGGAUGACGUCAAAUCAUCAUGCCCCUUAUGACCUGGGCUACACACGUGCUACAAUGGACGGUACAAACGGUUGCCAACCCGCGAGGGGGAGCUAAUCCGAUAAACCGUUCUCAGUUCGGAUUGUAGGCUGCAACUCGCCUACAUGAAC
rnacentral:rRNA from 1 species